UCCAGCUUGCCCUCCGAGCGUAGGCGCCGCCACCGAGGCCGCUGCCGGGAAAGGUGUCAGUGGGUUUGCUGGUGUGUCUCUCCGGGUCGGUGUCGGUGCCCUUGAACUGCCCGCCAUGGCUCGCCUAGACCCGUCCGGCGACCCUGCCGGCACUCCCGGCGGCCCCGCUCUGCGGAACGGGGUGGACCCGGCUUUGGCCUUCCUGGCGCAGCAGGAGAGCGAGACUGCAGGCAUCGAGAACGAUGAGGCCUUCGCCAUCCUGGACGGCCUGGACGGCCUGGACGGCGGCGCCCUGGACCCCAGCCGCACGGGGACCCCAGCCGCCGGGGAGUCCGGAUGCUGAUGAUGGAGUGAUGAAUGGCGAAUACUACCAGGAGAGUAAUGGCCCAACAGACAGUUAUGGGGCUAUUUCACAAGUGGAUCGAUUGCAAUCAGAGCCUGAAAGUAGUAACCGUAAAUGGAGAGAAGAACUAACGGAACGCUUGGAAGCCCUGGAUGCCAAUUCUCGGAAGCAAGAAGCAGAGAGGAAAGAAAAGGCAACAAAGGAGCUGGAAGAGUGGUAUGCGAGGCAGGAUGAGCAGCUGCAGAAAACAAAAGCAAACAACAGGGCAGCAGAAGAAGCCUUUGUAAAUGACAUCCACGAGUCAUCCCCAGGCACUGAGUGGGCACGGGUGGCCCGCCUGUGUGACUUUAAGCCUAAGUCCAGCAAGCAGGCCAAAGACGCCUCCCGCAUGCGUUCCGUCCUCAUCUCCCUCAAGCAGGCCCCCUGGGGCACUGAAGAGCCACGCUGUGGAACACUACACCUGCAAUAUCUUAAUCCUCUCAGGGAAGCUCUUCACCUAAUUGGAUUAAUCAUGUUGAGUUCUUUUGGACCAAACCUUUUGUCUUUAGAGUUACUCAUUGUUUGUGAUUGCACGUUUCUUCCUUCGCCUGUGUUCUCCCGGGCAGAGGGCCGGAAGAGGGAAGCCUCCCACUGUGGCCUCAACCUGUGCUUUUUGUGCAUUAUUCUGGGAAUAAACUUCUGUUUCAAACAAUAAAAAA